GGCAUCAUCGAACAAUAAAGAUGGGAGUCUGUCUAUAAGGCUCAAGUGACACCUUAUAUUACUCAUCAAAUACUAAUCCACAAGUUGCAGUAGAUAACAGAAACAGAGAAUAAUUAAAAAUAGAUUUCUGUUUUUCCCUGUAAGUCAAAAGAUAGGUCUUAUUUCUUUUUUCAAAAACAACAACAAAUUCCAGCAAAUAAGACCUGGCAUCAGUCGAGUAAAAGAAAGAUACUUUUCUAUUUGUUUGAGCAAGUAAAUAUUUUUGAAAAUGCAAC
rnacentral:lncRNA from 1 species